AGCGAACGCUGGCGGCAGGCCUAACACAUGCAAGUCGAACGAAGUCUUCGGACUUAGUGGCGGACGGGUGAGUAACACGUGGGAACGUGCCCUUUGGUACGGAAUAACUCAGGGAAACUUGAGCUAAUACCGUAUGUGCCCUUCGGGGGAAAGAUUUAUCGCCAUUGGAGCGGCCCGCGUCUGAUUAGCUAGUUGGUGAGGUAAAGGCUCACCAAGGCGACGAUCAGUAGCUGGUCUGAGAGGAUGAUCAGCCACAUUGGGACUGAGACACGGACCAAACUCCUACGGGAGGCAGCAGUGGGGGAUCUUGCGCAAUGGGCGAAAGCCUGACGCAGCCAUGCCGCGUGAAUGAUGAAGGUCUUAGGAUUGUAAAAUUCUUUCACCGGGGACGAUAAUGACGGUACCCGGAGAAGAAGCCCCGGCUAACUUCGUGCCAGCAGCCGCAGUAAUAC
rnacentral:rRNA from 1 species